UUUGUUUAAAUUAUUAUGAACUUUCCAAUUAUAUGUAUAUUAUCUAUUACUCUAUAUGAAUUUUAAUAAUUUUGCCAUGUGGUAAGUUUUUCUCCACCCUCACUAAUCUUUUUUCUGAAUAGAUUUUUACUCUUGGCUUUUCCACUCCCCUCCUCUCUAUUCAAUGAUAUGUAAUCAAUGUGCUUUUUAAUUUAUACGUUCCCUCUUCUAAAUUAUUUUUCUUGAAUUGAUUUUUAUUAUUGGCUUUUCUCCUUUCCUCCUCUUUAUUCAAUGACAUGUAAUCAAUAUGCUUUUUAAUUUAUACGUUUCCUCUUCAAAAUUAGUCAUUUCUUCUCCCACAAACAAUUCCUUACAUGCAAAAUUAAAAAAUGAGAAGAUGAAUAAUUACUACUUUUAGAUUUAGAGAUUGGGAAAGAGUAAGAGAGUCUUCCAAGUCUUAAUCCGUGCCAAUCCGACUCGACCCGAACCCCCCCUCCGAAUCAAAAGAGUGUUUAUAGGAUUUCUAUCAAUGUCGAUCUCUUCGGAUUUAUGGAAAAAGAAUGUAAUCAAACGAUUUUUUCAAUAGAGGAAGCUAAUUGGAGAGCAAUAAUGGACGGUUCGAGGCGUAGGUUUGGAAAACGAAAAUCCUAAACCUAAUUUUUUUCUUUUAUUUAUUUUAAUCUCGAAUUCUUACUACGUAUUCAUUUAGAAUUUAAUUUAUUUGCAUUAUUUUUGUAUGGUGAUUGUAUCAAUCAAGGAUUUGAUUUAUAUGCAUUAUUUUGAUUAAUUUAGAGGUUAUUUUUUAUUUCAUAAUUGAUGUGGCAGUUUUGGCCCGCAACUUUUGAUCAUUCCAUGCCCAAGAGGGUGCAAAUCUUGCAAAUUUUUAUCAGAUUUUCAUCGCCAUCGUCGUCGUCAUCGUAACAUUAUUAUCUCCAUCUUCAUACGACUUUUGUAGGGUUUUUUUUUUUUUGAAUGUUGAUUCUAGGCAGUUAUCGAUUUUCAAUGACCAUGUUGAUUAGUUCAAUUCAUACGUUUCCCUAUCCAAAAAAUAAAACACACUUGAAUUUUUAUUUUCCAAAUUUCUUUCUUCUUACUCUUCAAUAUUUUUUAAUUUUUCUGCUAUUAUUUAUCCGCGGUAUCGCGCGGCUUACUACACUAGUUAUUAUUAUAUAGGAAAUGUA
rnacentral:lncRNA from 1 species